GCACCUUUGCUAAUCAACUCUGCCUUGUUGAGCAGCAGCAGGGUGGUUCCUCACGGAGCACAUGUGCAUGCUAGCUAAUAUAGUUGACUCAGGAGUGAACAGCUUCCGCUGAUAUAAUAUCUGACUUUUCUGGAGUUUGACACUACUAAGGGGCGAAAACAGGCCUUAUUCUGUUUUUUGCGUGAGCGAGGAAAUUUCCCUGUAGAUGUUCAGUAGUUUGUAGAAUCCUUAUUUGGUUGUAUUGAGUGGAAUGUAAAGGUGUUUUUUAGUAUCUGCUCUAAAAACAACACUUUUAAGCUAACAUGGAGUCAGCCUAAAGCGGAUUGAUCACUUUAGGCCUUCACUCCUCAGAGAGAUAAAUAAAUAAAUAAAUAAAUAGUAAGACUGAGCACACAGCUGCAGUUUGUUUUUAUCACACACAACCCCAAAACCAAACCUUUCACCCUGACAUGAUUAUGGAAGGUAGGCGGGGUGGAAGUGCUUUGCCCUCGUGACUUUUUUUUUUCUUUUUCUUUUUUUAAUAAGUCUCAUCUUUGCCUUCGGAGAGGAAAGCUCUUUCUGGCCUCUAGCCACAACAGGUUCGAAGGUCCUACAUUGAGAUUAAGCGGAGCUUCUUCCCAACAGUGACGUUUGUUGGACCCCCAGAAACUGUAAGAUGCCUCUGUCCCGUUCGCUUUCCAUGACAUCCCUGACCGGGGUGCUGCCGGCCUGGGAGGAGGACGAGCUGCCUGUGGAGGACCUGCUGCUCUUCGAAGUCUCCUGGGAGGUCACCAACAAAGUUGGGGGAAUCUACACAGUCAUCCAGACCAAGGCUAAGAUCACUGUGGAUGAAUGGGGAGACAACUACUACAUGAUGGGACCAUACUUCGAGCACAACUUCAAGACUCAGGUGGAGAGCUGUGAGCCACCAAAUCCUGCCAUCAGGAAGGCCAUGGAUGCCCUCAUCCACAACGGCUGCCAGGUUCAUUUUGGUCGCUGGCUGAUUGAGGGCAGCCCCUACGUAAUCCUGUUUGACAUAGGCUCAGCAGCCUGGAACCUGGACCGCUGGAAAGGGGACCUUUGGGACACCUGCAACAUUGGUCUGCCCUUCCAUGACCGAGAAGCCAAUGACUCGCUCAUUUUGGGCUCCCUUAUUGCAUGGUUCUUCAAAGAGUUGACAGACCACCUUGGAGACAAACCUAAUGUCAUCAGUCACUUCCAUGAAUGGCAGGCAGGUCCUGGACUUAUUCUCUCUCGCUCACGCAAAAUUCCAAUGGCGACAGUAUUCACAACACAUGCCACCCUGCUGGGAAGAUACCUUUGUGCUGGGAACACUGACUUUUACAACAACCUGGACAAGUUUAACAUUGACAAGGAGGCUGGUGAGAGGCAGAUCUACCACCGAUACUGCUUAGAGAGAGCAGCAGUUCACUGUGCUCACGUCUUCACGACAGUCUCUCAGAUCACUGCUGUGGAGGCCAACCACAUGCUGCACAGGAAACCAGAUGUGGUCACCCCAAAUGGGCUGAAUGUGAAGAAGUUCUCAGCCAUGCAUGAGUUUCAAAACCUGCACUCCACCAACAAGGCCCAAAUCCAGGAGUUUAUCAGGGGACACUUCUAUGGUCACCUGGACUUCAACUUGGAUAAAACCCUCAUCUUCUUCAUUGCUGGGCGCUAUGAGUUCUCAAACAAAGGAGCAGAUAUUUUCCUUGAAUCACUGUCCAGACUGAACUAUCUGCUGCGGGUCCACCGAAACGAUGUGACGGUCGUAGUUUUCUUCAUCAUGCCAGCGAAAACUAACAACUUCAAUGUGGAGUCACUGAAGGGGCAGGCAGUACGUAAACAGCUUUGGGAUACAGCUCAUGCUGUUAAGGAGAAAUUUGGUAAAAAGCUGUAUGAUGCUCUGUUAAAAGGGCAGAUCCCUGAUCUCAACAACAUUUUGGACCGAGAUGACUUCACCAUUAUGAAGAGAGCCAUCUACGCCACACAGAGGCACAGCCUCCCUCCAGUAACCACUCACAACAUGCUGGACGACUCAGCAGAUCCCAUCCUGUCCAACAUCAGACGUGUUGGCCUCUUCAACUCCAGGAACGACCGUGUCAAGGUUGUUUUCCACCCGGAGUUCUUGUCCUCGACUAGUCCUCUGCUGCCAAUGGACUACGAGGAUUUUGUCCGUGGUUGUAACCUUGGAGUGUUCCCUUCCUACUAUGAACCAUGGGGCUACACACCUGGUGAGUGUACUGUAAUGGGCAUUCCUAGUGUGACCACCAAUUUGUCAGGUUUUGGUUGCUUCAUGGAGGAGCACGUGUCGGACCCUGCUGCAUAUGGUAUCUAUAUAGUGGACCGACGCUUCCGUUCUGCUGAGGAGUCCUGCAACCAGCUAACUCAGUUCAUGUUCAGUUUCUGCCAGCAGUCUCGGCGGCAGCGUAUCAUCCAGCGCAACCGAACUGAGAGGCUGUCUGACCUUCUGGACUGGAGAUACCUGGGACGGUUCUACAUACAUGCACGUCACCUGGCCCUUAGUAGAGCUUUCCCAGACAAGUUCAAGAUGGAUCCCAUGGCCCCUCUGAAGGACAAGAUGCCGCUGUGGUGCAGGAGUUGACAUCCAGAUACUUCUACAUUAAAAGGCUGAAUUGGAAGACCAACACAGAGGCUGUAUACAAGAAGGGGACGGAGGGUUUCCGGUAUCCCCGGCCCUACUCGGUUCCACCCUCUCCUUCUGCCUCUAUCCAUUCCACGCCCCACCACAGUGAUG